rnacentral:rRNA from 1 species
UAAUACAGAGGGUGCGAGCGUUGUCCGGAAUCACUGGGCGUAAAGGGCGCGUAGGUGGCGACCCAAGUCGAUGGUGAAAGCUCGCCGCUCAACGGCGAGUCGGCCACCGAUACUGGGUUGCUCGAGCACUGUAGAGGCUAAUGGAAUUCCGGGUGUAGCGGUGGAAUGCGUAGAGAUCCGGAAGAACACCGGUGGCGAAGGCGGUUAGCUGGGCAGUUGCUGACACUGAGGCGCGACAGCGUGGGGAGCAAACAGGAUUAGAUACCCUGGUAGUCCACGCCGUAAACGAUGGGCACUAGAUGCUUGGGGGAGCGACCCCCUGAGUGUCGCAGCUAACGCAUUAAGUGCCCCGCCUGGGGAGUACGGCCGCAAGGCUG